UACGGGGGGAGCAAGCGUUGUUCGGAUUUACUGGGCGUAAGGGCGCAGUAGGCGGUCAGCACAAGUCAGUUGUGAAAUCUCCGGGCUUAACUCGGAAAGGUCAACUGAUACUGUGCGACUAGAGUGCGGAAGGGGCAACUGGAAUUCUCGGUGUAGCGGUGAAAUGCGUAGAUAUCGAGAGGAACACCGGUGGCGAAGGCGGUUCUCUGGGCCUUACCUGACGCUGAGGAGCGAAAGCGUGGGGAGCGAACAGG
rnacentral:rRNA from 1 species